rnacentral:rRNA from 2 species
UGGCCCAGAUCGUUUACCGUGAAAAAAUUAGAGUGUUCAAAGCAGGCAGAUCCAAUUUUCUGCCACCGAAUACAUUAGCAUGGGAUAAUGGAAUAGGACCCUGUCCUCCUAUUUUCAGUUGGUUUUGGCAGCGCGAGGACUAGGGUAAUGAUUAAUAGGGAUAGUUGGGGGCAUUAAUAUUUAAUUGUCAGAGGUGAAAUUCUUGGAUUUAUGAAAGAUUAACUUCUGCGAAAGCAUCUGCCAAGGAUGUUUUCAUUAAUCAAGAACGAAAGUUAGGGGAUCGAAGACGAUCAGAUACCGUCGUAGUCUUAACCAUAAACGAUGCCGACCAGCGAUUAGGAGACGUUGAAUACAAAACACCACCAUCGGUGCGGUCGUCCUUGGCGUCUCGGUCCUUCACGGGGCCGGGGCGCGGGGGCGGCUUAGCCCGGUGGCACCGGUGAAUGACUCCCCUAGCAGCUUGUGAGA